UCCUGACUGCUGAAACCUGGCAGACUGGGGGUUUAAAUAUUAACAAGCCACACAUGGCCCUCCUCUUCUGCCGCGUCCCUCGAUGGAAGGCAACAGCAGCUCGCUCCACCAAGACAAACACGUCCGCGGCCAGACAUGCUGCAGGGGGUUUACAUUUUAAUGCCUUUGUUGGUUUUCCAAAAUAUGCUUCCAUCUCAUUCUGGAUGGGCUCCCUUCAGGUCCACAAAGCCAGGAACUCGUGUGUUCUCACUCGAUCGCUCGUCGGCAGGAAGUGGCUUUCUCGACUUCCUGGUUGAGGUUCGUCCUGUGUGGUGUUGCUAAGCCGCCGCGGGUGAACGAGGUAAACCGGAGGUGAUGAGGUUGAACAGAUGUUGCUGCACCACUUCCCCUUCACCUCCAGCUGAUGGGCAACAUCGAGCCCGCUGAGUGGCGAGCGGCCUCGGCUGAGCCCGACCGGCUGCUGGUCACUGUGGUUUCAGCUUUUUGUUUUUUUACAAGUGACAUUAACCGAAACACUUCCUCAAAUUCAACUGCAUUCUUAAAAACCACAGAUUCAGUUGAACCCAGUUGCUUCAGACGAGCUGCGCGUUGCAACAGAGAGAAUCAUGUUCUCAAGACUCUAUACCAUGAUGUAAUUUAUUAAAGAGAAUCUUCUACAUCUAUAGUCCUGUUCUUAAAACCAGUGACUCCCCAGUAACACUCACCAGUGUGCAGCACAGGGGAAAGAACCACCACAUGAGGGCCAGAGCCACGAGGACCAGCAGAACCAGGAAGACGAUCGCCACCACAAAGCCGUCCGACUGCAGGAGGAAACCACAGUAAUCAGAUUACUCGCUCUAAUCAGGUCUAGUAGUUUGGAUUCAUGGUGUUUCAUAAACAUUAUUAUUUGUAUAUCUAUUUGUUGUGUUUACUGCUCCUUUAAACCAAAUUUUCCCAUGAGGAUGAUCCACACAUCCAUAUAUCAAUUCAUCCAUCAUCCCAUAAUCCCACUGCUAUCCUCAUAUCUGGUAAAUUCACAUUUGGUACAUGUUAUUAAAUGAUUUUAACUUGCUGGUGCUUCAGACUCACACACGUGGAAGCUGUGAUUUUGUAGGAGCUGGAGAUGAAGGAUUUGCCGUCGUUCAGGCUGAUCAGAACGUCCAUGGUCCUGAAAGAGAAAAGGUUUCAUCCUUAUUAACUAACUGGAAAUCAACUAAAUAAGUUAUAACUUGA